UACGUAGGGUGCAAGCGUUAAUCGGAAUUACUGGGCGUAAAGCGUGCGCAGGCGGUUUUGUAAGUCUGACGUGAAAUCCCCGGGCUCAACCUGGGAAUUGCGUUGGAGACUGCAAGGCUAGAAUCUGGCAGAGGGGGGUAGAAUUCCACGUGUAGCAGUGAAAUGCGUAGAGAUGUGGAGGAACACCGAUGGCGAAGGCAGCUCCCUGGGUCAAGAUUGACGCUCAUGCACGAAAGCGUGGGGAGCAAACAGG
rnacentral:rRNA from 1 species